GAUGAACGCUGGCGGCGUGCCUAAUACAUGCAAGUCGAGCGAACAGACCAUGAGCUUGCUCCUCUGACGUUAGCGGCGGACGGUUGAGUAACACGUGGAUAACCUACCUAUAAGACUGGGAUAACUUCGGGAAACCGGAGCUAAUACCGGAUAAUAUAUUGAACCGCAUUGUUCAAUAGUGAAAGACGGUUUUGCUGUCACUUAUAGGUGGAUCCGCGCCGCAUUAGCUAGUUGGUAAGGUAACGGCUUACCAAGGCAACGAUGCGUAGCCGACCUGAGAGGGUGAUCGGCCACACUGGAACUGAGACACGGUCCAGACUCCUACGGGAGGCAGCAGUAGGGAAUCUUCCGCAAUGGGCGAAAGCCUGACGGAGCAACGCCGCGUGAGUGAUGAAGGUCUUCGGAUCGUAAAACUCUGUUAUUAGGGAAGAACAAAUGUGUAAGUAACUAUGCACGUCUUGACGGUACCUAAUCAGAAAGCCACGGCUAACUACGUG
rnacentral:rRNA from 1 species